rfam:Postia placenta Mad-698-R POSPLscaffold_1497_Cont10018, whole genome shotgun sequence.
GGCUACCUGGCGCAAUGGUAGCGCGUUUGGCUUCGAUCGCUGACGUCACCAAAAGGUUGCAGGUUCGAGUCCUGCGGUGGUCA